rnacentral:tRNA from 2 species
GGAGAGGUGGCAGAGUGGUCGAAUGCACCGCACUCGAAAUGCGGCAUACGGGCAACCGUAUCGGGAGUUCGAAUCUCCCCCUCUCCGCCA